rnacentral:tmRNA from 1 species
GUUAUGGAUUCGCUGCACUGGAUAUGAUUGAGGUAAGCAUGUCGUAGUAGUCUACGUUAAAACGUCGAGGGUUAAAUAACCGCAAACACAAAUUUAUUUGCAUCUAAUAAUCAAGGUGCAUAUCAAUACGCUGCUUGCUAAUAUAAUGCAAGCCCGACUUAUUUAGUUUUCUUGUAGCUUUAUAAGUUUGUCAGAUACAAGAUAUAUUAAUAUUUUGCCGUCUUAAGAAUAUUAAAGAAUUUAAUAAGGCUAGUCAUUAGAGUAGUUGUUUGUUAAUAGCUAAUGAUGAAUUUUAUAACAAAAUAAGCAUGUAGAAAGCUUUGAAAGUGCCUUUGUAUACGGGAGUUCGAGUCUCCCCUGAUCCACCA